UACGUAGGGGGCAAGCGUUGUCCGGAUUUAUUGGGCGUAAAGAGCGUGUAGGCGGUCAGGUAGGUCCGUUGUGAAAACUCGAGGCUCAACCUCGAGACGCCGGUGGAAACCGUAAAGCUAGAGUCCGGAAGAGGAGAGUGGAAUUCCUGGUGUAGCGGUGAAAUGCGCAGAUAUCAGGAGGAACACCCGUGGCGAAAGCGGCUCUCUGGGACGGUACUGACGCUGAGACGCGAAAGCGUGGGGAGCAAACAGG
rnacentral:rRNA from 1 species